rnacentral:rRNA from 1 species
CAGCCGUAAACAAUGUGCGUUAGGUAUGUCGGUAACCACGUGUUACUGUUGUGCCGAAGAGAAAUCGUGAAACGCACCACCUGGGAAGUACGGUCGCAAGGCUGAAACUUAAAGGAAUUGGCGGGGGAGCACCACAACAGGUGGAGCCUGCGGUUUAAUUGGAUUCAACGCCGGACAUCUCACCGGAUAAGACAGCUGAAUGAUUGUCAAUCUGAAGGUUUUACAUGACUAGCUGAGAGGUGGUGCAUGGCGUCAGUGACU